UUCUCCCUCAGCCUGCAGUCAGGGCUUUUAAAAUGAUGAAGGGUCUGAAUACAUGAUUCAAAAUAAUCUCAGGAACCAGCACAGAGUUCAGAAGCUUUCUCAGUGCUGGAGAGAUCGAUGGGGUUUGAAAUGAGCUAUCAUAAAUCAAGGGUGAGAAGCAAGUCCUGCUUCUGGCUGGGGAGGCUUGGUGUGAGCAGUCAUCUAAGAGGCCGUAGGGCAGAGGUCUUUCUUUAGGGAGAGCCGUGCAGCUCCAGUGCAGGGCUGGUAUUCAGGAAGAAGUCUUUGGAAGAGCACACUUCUGCCUAAAGCAGCACAAGAAGACCCGGUUCCCAUCAGACUUGGGCACCAGAGAAGGAGACUGAAGUCUGUAUCUGAUAUGGUUCAUUGUUCCACAGUCUGAAUGAAGCACAGUGCUGUGUCAAUACUUAGAAAAAUCAUCCUGUUAUGAAGGAUGGGGAUAAGGAUAUGUUUUACUUCCAUCAACAUCAAAGCUGCAGAACUAUUCAAGUCUUUGAAUGAUUACCUAACAGGAAAACUGAAUUGGUUGUUUCGGCUCAGUAUACACAUGGAUGGAGCAGCUGCCAUGCCUGGAUGCCUUUCUGGUUUCACUACUUGCGCCAAACAGGGGAGAUUGACAACUGUGUUCAAGUCUGCAGAUAACGUGGAUGCAUUCAAAGCCAAACUGAAAUUGUGGAUGUGCUCUGUGGAAAGAAUCCUCUACAUCUAUCAAGUCUCAGCUACACUGUUUCUUUCUCAAUGGAGCUCCCAAAAUACGUCUGCAGGACUCUGUUGCCUUAGGAGUUAAUCUCACCUUUGUCUUUCUGUAAUUCCUCCCAUGUAGAGUUUGAAUAUGGCCAUAGUUUCAGCUCUAGCAAUGCUUUAUAAAAUCACUCAGCAUUCUUUUAAAUGCAGAGUUAAAGUUAUAGAAAAGAAAUGGUAAUUGAUAUGUGCUAGAAAUUAAAAUGUUUCUGGAAUCCAAUAAGGAUGGGAUCUAAUCCUUCAGGGGUCUCUGUGAGUGGGAGGAGAUUGCACAUCUCAACAAACUGAGGGUGUUUUAACUAGGGUGAGUUUUAACACCUGUGUGCAGAAGGCAAGUGAGGUAUCCCUUGCAGGAGGCAGCAGUGAGAACUAAAAUCCCUGUACAAAGCAGUGCAGGUGCAAGGUAGAUGAAGGAGUGGCCCAGACAAAAUGUGCCUCUGACACAGACACAUGCAGACAGCAAGACAACUGACUGCUGCUUCAUGGACCGUUUGUAGAAAAAAUGAGUUGUCACACUGUGAUAACUCAUGCCCAUGGUUCCGUCACCACAGGUAUUCUGGUUUAGAUCUGAAAUGUCCCCCCAAAAUGUUUCAUGUGUGUGAAAGGUGAUGGAGUACUAAUCAGCCAUAAAGAAUGAGAAACUAGAGACAUAUAUAGCUAAAUGGAUGCAUAUUGAGGCCAAACUCUUAAGUGAAAUAAAUACAGUACACAUGUGUAAAUACCGAAUAGUUUCUCUGGUGUGAGAAACUG